UACGGAGGGGGCUAGCGUUGUUCGGAAUUACUGGGCGUAAAGCGCACGUAGGCGGAUCGGAAAGUUGGGGGUGAAAUCCCGGGGCUCAACCUCGGAACUGCCUCCAAAACUAUCGGUCUUGAGUUCGAGAGAGGUGAGUGGAAUUCCGAGUGUAGAGGUGAAAUUCGUAGAUAUUCGGAGGAACACCAGUGGCGAAGGCGGCUCACUGGCUCGAUACUGACGCUGAGGUGCGAAAGUGUGGGGAGCAAACAGG
rnacentral:rRNA from 1 species